rnacentral:rRNA from 1 species
AACGAACGCUGGCGGCAUGCCUAACACAUGCAAGUCGAACGAGACCUUCGGGUCUAGUGGCGCACGGGUGCGUAACGCGUGGGAAUCUGCCCUUGGGUUCGGGAUAACAGUUGGAAACGACUGCUAAUACCGGAUGAUGACGUAAGUCCAAAGAUUUAUCGCCCAAGGAUGAGCCCGCGUAGGAUUAGCUAGUUGGUGAGGUAAAGGCUCACCAAGGCGACGAUCCUUAGCUGGUCUGAGAGGAUGAUCAGCCACACUGGGACUGAGACACGGCCCAGACUCCUACGGGAAGCAGCAGUGGGGAAUAUUGGACAAUGGGCGAAAGCCUGAUCCAGCAAUGCCGCGUGAGUGAUGAAGGCCUUAGGGUUGUAAAGCUCUUUUACCCGGGAUGAUAAUGACAGUACCGGGAGAAUAAGCUCCGGCUAACUCCGUG